rnacentral:rRNA from 1 species
UACGAAGGGGGCUAGCGUUGUUCGGAAUUACUGGGCGUAAAGCGCGUGUAGGCGGGUCUUUAAGUCAGGGGUGAAAUGCCAAGGCUCAACCUUGGAACUGCCUUUGAUACUGGAGACCUUGAGUCCGGGAGAGGAGAGUGGAAUUCCUGGUGUAGCGGUGAAAUGCGCAGAUAUCAGGAAGAACACCCGUGGCGAAAGCGGCUCUCUGGAACGGUACUGACGCUGAGACGCGAAAGCGUGGGGAGCGAACAGG